GGCUGGUCUGAAGGCAGAGACUUAUCUCAAUUGAUCACAGUUGGUUACAGAUCAAACUCUGUUCUACUCUUCUUACUGCUUGCACUUGACUAGUCUCUU
rnacentral:Y_RNA from 1 species